GACGAACGCUGGCGGCGUGCUUAACACAUGCAAGUCGAACGGAAAGGCCCUGCUUUUGUGGGGUGCUCGAGUGGCGAACGGGUGAGUAACACGUGAGUAACCUGCCCUUGACUUUGGGAGAACUUCAGGAAACUGGGGCUAAUACCGGAUAGGAGCUCCUGCUGCAUGGUGGGGGGUGGAAAGUUUCGGCGGUUGGGGAUGGACUCGCGGCUUAUCAGCUUGUUGGUGGGGUAGUGGCUUACCAAGGCUUUGACGGGUAGCCGGCCUGAGAGGGUGACCGGCCACAUUGGGACUGAGAUACGGCCCAGACUCCUACGGGAGGCAGCAGUGGGGAAUAUUGCACAAUGGGCGGAAGCCUGAUGCAGCAACGCCGCGUGCGGGAUGACGGCCUUCGGGUUGUAAACCGCUUUCGCCUGUGACGAAGCGUGAGUGACGGUAAUGGGUAAAGAAGCACCGGCUAACUACGUG
rnacentral:rRNA from 1 species